UGGGAUUGCAGGGGUAAGCCACCGCGCCCCGCCGCAACAAUGACUUUUUUAAAAAACAGGCAUUUACUGCAUUUUCGUACACUAGAAGCUAAAAUACCAUGCUGUCCAGUUCAAAACAGGACACCUGGCAACCCUGUUCCUAACAGCUUUCUGCAAAGCCAACACCCAGUGCUUUCUGGCUGCAUUGGCCUGUCCUCAUUUCCCCCUGGAAAACUUGUUUUAAACAGUACAGAUAACAUUCUGCCUCUAUUACAAUUAGCAGCUUCUCUCACCAGGUUAUCUAGUGUGGCAAGUGCUAGUGCGGAGUCACUUAGUAUCUUCUUUCAAAACCUCCCAGUGGCUGCCUUCAGGUAGCAUGUGAAAAGCUGCUCAUGGGGAAUUCAGCAGCUGCUUCAGGCCCUCCAGGGCAUUUCUUGCUGGCAUCUUCUGCCUCACCAGAUCGCCCUGAUUAUUAGUGAUCUGGGCCCCCUACCUAAUGGAAAACCAGCCACUCUUCUUCCCAGCCCCAAUGGAUAUUGAUGAGGGGUCCUUAAAUCUGGGAUCCUUUCCCCUCCUUGCCCAAUAAUUGAACUCCUAAAAUCCUUUUACUACCUGGGAAUCUGCAAAGACAACCUUGAAUUUGAACUGGAGCUAGAAGGACUUCCUCCGAACGAAUUUGCCCAUAGAUGACUCUCUGGUACAUGGUCUCUGUUGUUCAACUUUCUCUAUUCUGAAGUCUAGAAGACACCCUUGCUUCUGAAAGUGGGGCCUAAGAACCUGCAGCCUCACCAGGGAGCUUGGUAGAAAUCCAGAAUCUGAGGCAGGAUUCUAGACUUAUUGGAUCAGAUUCUGCAUUUCAACAAGAUUCCCCAGUGACCCCCAGGCAUCUUCAAAUUUGAGAGGCCAGGAAAGUGCUCAGGCCCUGCCCUUCCCUUCCCGUUGGCUGGGGAGAAUUCCUGUAAUUUGCCCUGUUUACGGGUCCUUAAUCUCCAACUUCACUGUCCUCGCUUUCCAAAGAAUCCUGAGUGGCUUCCUUCCAACACCUUAUCUGUCUUCCCCCACGCCCCUGAAGCCAGGGCCUCUUUUCUUCAAGGCCACCCCCCAACUCAUCUCAGGCUGAGGCUCCUCUCUUGAGGCCAUAUCCCAUGGUAGCAUUUCUUUGAGGGCUGCUUUUCUGCCGUUUUUCUCCCCAGGUAGGGCCUCUAAAACCGAUGGAAGUGAAGUGCUACACCUCAGAGCUGCUUUAGCCCUUAGAGCUGGCCAGGGUCUGAGUGGGCCUCUCACAGGGCCACAGGACUGCCCUUUCCCCCAGCAUGCCUAGAAGCUGAGACCACUCACACCACAUGAACAUGCUAUCCUUGUUCCUCUUUCCUGCCAGCCUCAACACAACCAGAAUACAGCCCAAUAAUGGCUGCCUACAAAUGGGAGGCACCCAGGGAAGGGAGGGGGUGCUGAUUAAGAACCAGCCUGGAGGAGGAUCAUGGUUUCUCUGAAACAAGAAGGAGAAACAGAUGCCCUGCCCAGAAGCAACACGGCUAAUGGGUGCCACCGUGGAGACCCAGGCAACCUGAGAGUAGUCCUGACAGCCAGACCUCCAGGGUGGAAAUGGGAAGGUCUACAGAGAAAGGUCAGGAUUUAACAGGGAAAUGGAGGAGGGCAAGAAUGGGGGUCAGGAGGUAUCUACGCAUUUUGAUAUGAAAUUAAGAAGUUCAUUUAAAAUAUACAACCAAGGCCCGUGACACUUUUUGUAACAAGAUUCUAGCUUAUCUUCCCACUAGAUUUUGUUGGACUUUUUUCAAAUUGUAUCUGAUUGUGUUUUUCAAACUAGGCCAGGAGGGCCCCUCAACUUCUAAAAUACAAAAAUUCUUUCUGCUCCUCUUUUCAAAUCUUCUCAGAUUCUGGACACACCCAGAAAUUCCAUGUGCCUUUUUACUCCCUUAAUCCUGUUAACUUUUUGUCUCUUCUUAGCAAUGACUUCCUUUCAUUUUAGAGAAAGUUCUGCUGGUAACAUACUGUAUAAGCCAGGAGAGAAAAAGAACUUGAAAGAGGAACACAUUUUUCUUCAUUUUUUUUUUUUCAAAAAAGGUAAGGGAAAAAAAUAAAGGAAGUGGAGAAAUAUACUACUCAGUACAGUUGUCAAACAAAUUUCUUGGAACCAUGGCCUACAAGAAUACCUAUCUUAACUGCAUUGCACUAGAAACCACAUUUUCAUAUUCCUUUUGUGAUAAUUCUAAGAUAAUGAAUUAGAUGUUAGCCAUUGUUUUCCAGAAUAGAAUUUCUGGAGUUACUGGUAGUUCAGGGAAUUUUAGUCACAAGAUAUAUAUUUUCUGUACCUUUGUGUGUGUGUAUAUGUGUGUAUGCAUAUAUACUUAUAUACAUGCACAUAUAUACACAUACACACAAACAUGCAUGUGCUAUAGCUUUUGAAUGGAGAUAUAUGUGUGUGUACACACACACACAUUCAUUCAUUCAUUUAUAUCAUACAGCUUCUCUGAAGAGCAACAGGAGAAAAAUGCAGGAAAUAUAAAGGCAACCUGGGGUCAGUCCUAUGCAGUGAGCUCUUUGAGGUCUCCAUCAGAAAUAAAAGAUUUCAGUCUUUUUUGGCUGGGCACAGUGGCUCACACCUGUAAUCCUAACACCUUGGGAGGCCAAGGUGGGAGGAUUAACAAAAAAUACAAAAAUUAGCCGGGGGUGGUGGUGGGAGCCUGUAGUCCCAGCUACUUGGGAGGCUAAGAUGGUAGGAUCACCUGAGCCAGGGAGAUGGAGGCUGCGGUGAGCCAUGAUCGCACCACUGCACACCAGCCUGGGUGACAGAGUGAGACCCUGUCCUAAAAAAAAAAAAAAAAAAAAAUCAAUCUUUUCAUAGUUAUUCAAAUUAAAACAACAAAAUAGAGAUGUGAAGACUUGGCUCAGGAAGAUUCAGUCAUCUCAACAGUCACUGUAAAGAACUGCCAUCAGACUCCUUUUGACUCUAAAUGGCAAAGGAUACCAACACUGUUCUUCCUAGGAAGCUAAUCUAUAGUUAAAAUAGGCACAUUGCAUAGCUCUGUGUAUCUACAGUGUUGUAAUUGUCUAACAGAGUGGAGAUACUAAAUGUACUCAGUGCAUAAAACACAUUUUAUUUAAAAUAGAGAGGAAAUUCCUGAGGGAACAAUAAAAUCAAGGAUGUUACAGUAAUUUCAUGAGC
ensembl:lncRNA DLEU2 deleted in lymphocytic leukemia 2